rnacentral:rRNA from 1 species
UGGGGAAUAUUGCACAAUGGGCGGAAGCCUGAUGCAGCGACGCCGCGUGAGGGAUGACGGCCUUCGGGUUGUAAACCUCUUUCAGUAGGGACGAAGCGUAAGUGACGGUACCUGCAGAAGAAGCACCGGCUAACUACGUGCCAGCAGCCGCAGUAAUACGUAGGGUGCGAGCGUUGUCCGGAAUUACUGGGCGUAAAGAGCUCGUAGGCGGUUUGUCACGUCGUCUGUGAAAUCCUAGGGCUUAACCCUGGACGUGCAGGCGAUACGGGCUGACUUGAGUACUACAGGGGAGACUGGAAUUUCUGGUGUAGCGGUGGAAUGCACAGAUAUCAGGAAGAACACCGAUGGCGAAGGCAGGUCUCUGGGUAGUAACUGACGCUGAGGAGCGAAAGCAUGGGUAGCGAACAGG